rnacentral:rRNA from 1 species
AAAUUGAAGAGUUUGAUCAUGGCUCAGAUUGAACGCUGGCGGCAGGCCUAACACAUGCAAGUCGAACGGUAACAGGAAGCAGCUUGCUGCUUCGCUGACGAGUGGCGGACGGGUGAGUAAUGUCUGGGAAACUGCCCGAUGGAGGGGGAUAACUACUGGAAACGGUAGCUAAUACCGCAUAACGUCGCAAGACCAAAGAGGGGGACCUUCGGGCCUCUUGCCAUCGGAUGUGCCCAGAUGGGAUUAGCUUGUUGGUGAGGUAACGGCUCACCAAGGCGACGAUCCCUAGCUGGUCUGAGAGGAUGACCAGCCACACUGGAACUGAGACACGGUCCAGACUCCUACGGGAGGCAGCAGUGGGGAAUAUUGCACAAUGGGCGCAAGCCUGAUGCAGCCAUGCCGCGUGUAUGAAGAAGGCCUUCGGGUUGUAAAGUACUUUCAGCGGGGAGGAAGGUGUUGUGGUUAAUAACCGCAGCAAUUGACGUUACCCGCAGAAGAAGCACCGGCUAACUCCGUGCCAGCAGCCGCGGUAAUACGGAGGGUGCAAGCGUUAAUCGGAAUUACUGGGCGUAAAGCGCACGCAGGCGGUCUGUCAAGUCGGAUGUGAAAUCCCCGGGCUCAACCUGGGAACUGCAUUCGAAACUGGCAGGCUUGAGUCUCGUAGAGGGGGGUAGAAUUCCAGGUGUAGCGGUGAAAUGCGUAGAGAUCUGGAGGAAUACCGGUGGCGAAGGCGGCCCCCUGGACGAAGACUGACGCUCAGGUGCGAAAGCGUGGGGAGCAAACAGGAUUAGAUACCCUGGUAGUCCACGCCGUAAACGAUGUCUAUUUGGAGGUUGUGCCCUUGAGGCGUGGCUUCCGGAGCUAACGCGUUAAAUAGACCGCCUGGGGAGUACGGCCGCAAGGUUAAAACUCAAAUGAAUUGACGGGGGCCCGCACAAGCGGUGGAGCAUGUGGUUUAAUUCGAUGCAACGCGAAGAACCUUACCUGGUCUUGACAUCCACAGAACCUUUCAGAGAUGAGAGGGUGCCUUCGGGAACUGUGAGACAGGUGCUGCAUGGCUGUCGUCAGCUCGUGUUGUGAAAUGUUGGGUUAAGUCCCGCAACGAGCGCAACCCUUAUCCUUUGUUGCCAGCGGUCCGGCCGGGAACUCAAAGGAGACUGCCAGUGAUAAACUGGAGGAAGGUGGGGAUGACGUCAAGUCAUCAUGGCCCUUACGACCAGGGCUACACACGUGCUACAAUGGCAUAUACAAAGAGAAGCGACCUCGCGAGAGUAAGCGGACCUCAUAAAGUAUGUCGUAGUCCGGAUUGGAGUCUGCAACUCGACUCCAUGAAGUCGGAAUCGCUAGUAAUCGUGGAUCAGAAUGCCACGGUGAAUACGUUCCCGGGCCUUGUACACACCGCCCGUCACACCAUGGGAGUGGGUUGCAAAAGAAGUAGGUAGCUUAACCUUCGGGAGGGCGCUUACCACUUUGUGAUUCAUGACUGGGGUGAAGUCGUAACAAGGUAACCGUAGGGGAACCUGCGGUUGGAUCACCUCCUUA